rnacentral:lncRNA from 1 species
GGGCGGGCGCCAGGGGGCGCCGCCCGUCCCGGCCCCUCAGGGCGGGUCCCGCCGGACCCCCGGUGGGGAUUCCGCGGUGCCCGGCCCGGCUCUUCCCGCUCGCCUUCUUCCCGCACGGCCCCAGGACCCCUCGGCACCCCGCGACCUUCCCCGAGCCAAACAUGCGCCUGGGUCGCCGGCAGUAACGCGCAGAGCGCUGUGGAGUGGAAGCGAGAGCAGCAUCCCUCCCCGUGGCUCCCCAUGCACCGCGGUGCGGGGUACACGGACAUCGGAGUUUCCUGUGGGAAUAGUCCCUCAAAAAUCCUCCGUGUGAUGGCACGUGGCCAGGCAACAGCCGUGGAGAACCCCGCUUUGUCACAGCUGAUGACAGAAUCGCUGAGAACAAGAACUGAUAGUAAAUCUCCUUGUCAGAGCUCAGAGAUUGGAUACAACCCAAGCAACAUGCACAAAUGGUGUGAUUUUACAGGAAUAUCCAGCUCAGAACCCCCUUGGUUCCCAUCCUUGCCAGCCUGGAGCUGCCCCACCAGCCUGGAACCCUUUGUGCCUGCGAGGUGUGAGCCUUGCAGGCAGCCAGCGAGGCAGAUGGUUGGGAAGCUCCCUUUUCUACAAAGAAUUUAUAAAUUUAGGAUUUUUUCGGCGCAACCCUGA